rnacentral:misc_RNA from 1 species
AUGGUUUGUGGAAGUAUGAUGUUGUAAUUUGUUCUAUAUUUUUCGUCAGGAGAAUUUUUUUUUCUUGCAAUGAACUCGAUGGAGCAAGAAAUUACGUUAAUUUAUACACUAAAUCAGGAGUGGGAGAGCAAAAGCCGAAGAAUAGAGGACUUCCUCCAGGCUUUUUAUUCUGGGCAUUUUUCUUUUGUUCCUUCUCUUGAAAGAAGUAUUUUGGUUUUUGUUUCUCUUUUAUGUUUGUAUAGCUUGUAUGGUUUUUGGCAGUUCUUG